ACCUGGCUGGCUCAGUUGGUAGAGCAUGCGACUCUUGAUCUCAGGGUUGUGAGUUCGAGCCCUACGUUGGGUG
rnacentral:tRNA from 1 species